rnacentral:rRNA from 1 species
GACGAACGCUGGCGGCGUGCUUAACACAUGCAAGUCGAACGGAAAGGCCCUGCUUUUGUGGGGUGCUCGAGUGGCGAACGGGUGAGUAACACGUGAGUAACCUGCCCUUGACUUUGGGAUAACUUCAGGAAACUGGGGCUAAUACCGGAUAGGAGCUCCUGCUGCAUGGUGGGGGUUGGAAAGUUUCGGCGGUUGGGGAUGGACUCGCGGCUUAUCAGCUUGUUGGUGGGGUAGUGGCUUACCAAGGCUUUGACGGGUAGCCGGCCUGAGAGGGUGACCGGCCACAUUGGGACUGGGAUACGGCCCAGACUCCUACGGGAGGCAGCAGUGGGGAUAUUGCACAAUGGGCGGAAGCCUGAUGCAGCAACGCCGCGUGCGGGAUGACGGCCUUCGGGUUGUAAACCGCUUUCGCCUGUGACGAAGCGUGAGUGACGGUAAUGGGUAAAGAAGCACCGGCUAACUACGUG